GUUGAAGUGUUUGUGAUGAUGCAAUCUACCCGCGGCUAGACGGAAAGACCCCAUGAACCUUUACUGUAGCUUUGCAUUGGACUUUGAACCGAUCUGUGUAGGAUAGGUGGGAGGCUAUGAAACCGGAACGCUAGUUUCGGUGGAGCCGUCCUUGAAAUACCACCCUGGUUUGUUUGAGGUUCUAACCUUGGCCCGUGAUCCGGGUCGGGGACAGUGCAUGGUAGGCAGUUUGACUGGGGCGGUCUCCUCCCAAAGCGUAACGGAGGAGUACGAAGGUACGCUAGGUACGGUCGGAAAUCGUGCUGAUAGUGCAAUGGCAUAAGCGUGCUUAACUGCGAGACCGACAAGUCGAGCAGGUGCGAAAGCAGGUCAUAGUGAUCCGGUGGUUCUGUAUGGAAGGGCCAUCGCUCAACGGAUAAAAGGUACUCUGGGGAUAACAGGCUGAUACCGCCCAAGAGUUCAUAUCGACGGCGGUGUUUGGCACCUCGAUGUCGGCUCAUCUCAUCCUGGGGCUGUAGCCGGUCCCAAGGGUAUGGCUGUUCGCCAUUUAAAGAGGUACGUGAGCUGGGUUUAAAACGUCGUGAGACAGUUUGGUCCCUAUCUGCCGUGGGCGUUGGAUAUUUGAAGGGGGCUGCUCCUAGUACGAGAGGACCGGAGUGGACGAACCUCUGGUGUACCGGUUGUCACGCCAGUGGCAUCGCCGGGUAGCUAUGUUCGGAAGAGAUAACCGCUGAAAGCAUCUAAGCGGGAAACUCGCCUUAAGAUGAGAUAUCCCUGGGGACUAGAUCCCCUUGAAGGGUCGUUCGAGACCAGGACGUUGAUAGGUCAGGUGUGUAAGCGCAGUAAUGCGUUCAGCUAACUGAUACUAAUUGCCCGUAAGGCUUGAUCCUAUAACA
rnacentral:rRNA from 1 species